AACAGAGCUGGGCGAUCUCCUAGUGUUGACAACACUUGCUGCCUGAGCUGCACAGAAAUCAGUGCUAAAGUCCUGUGUCUGCAUGUUUCUUGAAACCUUCAUCUUUUCCUGUUCUUCAGCCAAUUUACUUCUGCAAAUGCUUGGAAGUGCUGGUGAGUGGUGGAAAGCAAGCAGUCUUCAGUCUAACCAUGGAUUUCUACUGCUACUGGCUCUGUAGAAGAGAUUUUAAGCAGCCAAUGAAACCAGUGGUGUCUGGAUGUUUGCUGUGUGGCUCUGGCAUCUGAAUGGGGACAAAGAUUGAAGAGACUCAGGCUCCAGACUCUGGAAAAGGGACAAAAGCUGAGAACAUUGAUCUGAAGCUGUAUCCUGAAAUGCUGAGACCAUUGGUGAGCUGUAGGAGGCCUUCAGCAACCACCAGCUUUACUCCAAAAGGAAAAGAUAAACAUUCUUUCUGGAGCUGUUCUGGAAGGACAUUUCACCUGGAACAAGAAAAUCAGGUGAGCAAGAAUAAAAAAAAGAUAGUUUUCUGGAUGUUGCAAGUUUUGGUUUUUUUGUAA
rnacentral:lncRNA from 1 species